AAAAGAAAAGAAGACAAAGAGGGCACGUUUUCGAUCCGGCAGCUCUCUUUUUUUUUUUGCUUUUUUUUUUUUUU
rnacentral:ribozyme from 14 species